rnacentral:rRNA from 1 species
CCUACGGGAGGCAGCAGUGGGGAAUUUUGGACAAUGGGCGAAAGCCUGAUCCAGCAAUGCCGCGUGCAGGAAGAAGGCCUUCGGGUUGUAAACUGCUUUUGUACGGAACGAAACGGUCUGCUUUAAUACAGUGGGCUAAUGACGGUACCGUAAGAAUAAGCACCGGCUAACUACGUGCCAGCAGCCGCGGUAAUACGUAGGGUGCGAGCGUUAAUCGGAAUUACUGGGCGUAAAGCGUGCGCAGGCGGUUAUAUAAGACAGUUGUGAAAUCCCCGGGCUCAACCUGGGAAUUGCAUCUGUGACUGUAUAGCUAGAGUACGGUAGAGGGGGAUGGGAAUUCCGCGUGUAGCAGUGAAAUGCGUAGAUAUGCGGAGGAACACCGAUGGCGAAGGCAAUCCCCUGGACCUGUACUGACGCUCAUGCACGAAAGCGUGGGGAGCAAACAGGAUUAGAUACCCUGGUAGUCCACGCCCUAAACGAUGUCAACUGGUUGUUGGGUGCAUUAGUACUCAGUAACGAAGCUAACGCGUGAAGUUGACCGCCUGGGGAGUACGGCCGCAAGGUUGAAACUCAAAAGGAAUUGACGG